UUAUGAUCCUUAAAUUCAAAGAAUUUGGCGGUAAUUAAGUCUCUUUAGAGGAACCUGUUCUGUAAUUGAUAAUCCACGAUUGAUUUUACUUUAUUUUUAUUUGUAUAUCUCUGUCAGUGAAUGUAUUUUUAGGUUAAUUUUCAUUAUUUUUUUAUAAAUAAAUGGUAGGUCAAGGUGCAGUUUAAUAAAGUAGAAAUGGGUUACAAUAAUUUUUUAUUGAAUUAUUAAUUGGAAUAAAUUAAUUUGAAAUUGGAUUUAAUAGUAAAUUUUAUUAGAUUAUAAAUUUGACUUGAGCUCUUAAUUAU
rnacentral:rRNA from 1 species